UACGUAGGGCGCAAGCGUUAUCCGGAAUUAUUGGGCGUAAAGCGCGUGUAGGCGGCCGUGCAAGUCGGGUGUGAAAGCCCUCGGCUCAACCGAGGAAGUGCGCCCGAAACUGCAAUGGCUUGAGUACGGAGAGGAUGGCGGAAUUCCCCAAGUAGAGGUGAAAUUCGUAGAUAUGGGGAAGGAACACCGGUGGCGAAGGCGGGC
rnacentral:rRNA from 1 species